CGACUUCUUGCGACUAGAGUCUUAAAGUCAUCUUCUUCUUGCGACUUGCUGUCGUUGCGCCUCAGACUCUCUCCGCCUCCUAUCAUUCACGCUCCUCGAUGCCGCCUCCUCCAGUUCUCCCGUUCGCCAGCUGCAACUUCGAACCAUUGGCUGUUUUUUGCGUCACUUCAGUUCUUCGUAGCAUUCUGGUUUCUUUGUUUCACAUCUUCAGCAACUUUUAGCGAUUCUCUAGCAAACUUCUAGUGUCAACAAAUUUGAGAUGGUUCAUGGUUCAGUUUUCCUCUCAACAGUUAUGAUGUCUCCAUCGCUAAGGUAUAUAAUAAUUAGUGAGGAAGAGUCCAGCAUUUUAUUCUACACUAUCCUAAGAGAAGCAUAAUGCGAAAUUCAUGACAUUAUCCAUCAACACAGAUUAAAGUUUACGUUUGAGAAAGUUCAGUUAUAAUAUUUUUGUAGAAGCAAUUUGACUUCUUCCUUAAUUUAUUGUUAUGACUAAUCAUCAGAUUAAAGAAUCAGUCAGCUUCAACUGCUCUAACCAGUGCAAUAAACAAAACUUUGAGACGGGUAGAUCUGGACAGUUGAUACAGAAAGUAGCUACCCAAGUUGUUCUUGAUCCUACUGUCUAUAAAGCCAUUAAUUUUGCUAACAAUGUCUUCACUCUAAGUAGGAAAAACUAAAAAUGUUCAGUGCGAGGGAACUUACUCGAUUUGCUUGGGUUUUGGUGAUUUAUUCGAUGCUGACAUUGGUGGCAAUCUCUGAAGGAGCAACAUUUUCAGAUGCAACAGCUCCAUCUCCAAGGUCCCUCUCGCCGGGACCGUCUCCGACAAAGAAAGCAAGUGCAGGAAGCCCUGCAUAUGCCUGCAACACCAUUGUUUUCCUUUGUAGCCUCAUUGUCACCAUGCUGGCUCCGUUUCUUUAGAAAAUUAGGAAAAUAUGAAUGAUAUGCUUGUUCCUUGUUUUAUUUUUAAUUGUGUGUAAAAUGGAGAGAUGUGGAGUAGCUUUAUUCAUGGGGUGCCAUGGCUGCUUUACCAUCAGUCUUUCCGUAUCAGAAUAAGUUACUUGUAAAUAAUGGAUGAUCAAUCAUCUGUCUUGUCUGCA